rnacentral:lncRNA from 1 species
UUUUCGAUCAUUUACGACUCAGGAUUGAGUGUUUAGAUGAUCGUUAUCGACAUUUUCAUAUUACGGAUGAUGCACCAGAGGAGGUGGUGCAGCAGUAUAUUAGGGGUCAGGUACUGCAGUUAUUAGGUAGUGUCUUGUUAUCCGAUACUUCAUCGAAUAAGAUGAAGUUGAUGUUUUUGCCAUUAUUAAAGGAUUUAGACUUCGCUCGUAGACUCAGUUGGGGCAGUGCAG